AAUUUUUGACAAUGGGGGAAGCCCUGAUCCAGCCAUCCCGCGUGUAUGAUGAAGGCCUUCGUGUUGUUAAGUACUUUUGGCAGAGAAGAAAAGGUAUUCCCUAAUACGGGAUACUGCUGACGGUAUCUGCAGAAUAAGCACCGGCUAACUCAGUGCCAGCAGCCGCGGUAAUACGUAGGCUGCAAGUGUUAAUCGGAAUUCCUGUGCGUAAAGCGUGUGUAGGCGGUUCGGAAAGAAAGACGUGAAAUCCCCGGGCUCAACCUUGGAACUGCAUUUUUAACUGCCGAGCUAGAGUAUGUCAGAGGGGGGUAGAAUUCCACGUGUAGCAGUGAAAUGCGUAGAUAUGUGGAGGAAUACCGAUGGCGAAGGCAGCCCCCUGGGAUAAUACUGACGCUCAGACACGAAAGCGUGGGGAGCAAACAGG
rnacentral:rRNA from 1 species